rnacentral:rRNA from 1 species
UGGGGAAUAUUGCACAAUGGGGGAAACCCUGAUGCAGCGACGCCGCGUGAGCGAAGAAGUAUCUCGGUAUGUAAAGCUCUAUCAGCAGGGAAGAAGAUGACGGUACCUGACUAAGAAGCUCCGGCUAAAUACGUGCCAGCAGCCGCGGUAAUACGUAUGGAGCAAGCGUUAUCCGGAUUUACUGGGUGUAAAGGGAGCGCAGGCGGCCAGGCAAGUCCGAUGUGAAAUACCGGGGCCCAACCCCGGGGCUGCAUUGGAAACUGUCAGGCUGGAGUGUCGGAGGGGCAGGCGGAAUUCCUGGUGUAGCGGUGAAAUGCGUAGAUAUCAGGAGGAACACCGGUGGCGAAGGCGGCCUGCUGGACGACGACUGACGCUGAGGCUCGAAAGCGUGGGGAGCAAACAGGAUUAGAUACC